CAAUAGCGUAUAUUAAAGUUGUUGCGGUUAAAAAGCUCGUAGUUGGAUCUCAGGAGGACUUCAGUUGGUCGGCCUAACUGGUCAGAACCGUCUGUCUCUUCCUUGUUUCUGAAUCCCGCCCGGAGUUCAUUCUUCGGGUGUGGACUUCAGAUCGUUUACCUUGAAAAAAUUAGAGUGUUCAAAGCAGGCCUACGCUUGAAUACAUUAGCAUGGAAUAAUGGAAUAGGACUUUGGUGCUAUUUUGUUGGUUUAUGGGACCGAAGUAAUGAUUAACAGGGACAGUUGGGGCCGUUUAUAUUUCGUUGUCAGAGGUGAAAUUCUUGGAUUUACGAAAGAUAAACUUCUGCGAAAGCAUUCGGCAAGGAUGUUUUCAUUGAUCAAGAACGAAAGUUAGGGGAUCGAAGACGAUCAGAUACCA
rnacentral:rRNA from 1 species